UAAAUGUACAAAGAUAAACGUGAUGAGACGUUCUCAGGAUCCUGAUAUGUUUGGGUUAUUAUCAGUUCAGCUCAGAGCUUUUUGACAUGAAGCUUCAGCGCUGUGCUAAUUACGAAGCGUACUUCGGUGCAGGAACUAAACUGACUGUUCUCGAACAUGACGUCACUCCACCGACAGUCAGAGUUCUCCCAGCUUCUCCAAAGGAGUGUGGACACCAGAGUAAGACCAUCGUUUGUGUGGCCAGUGGAUUCUACCCGGAUCAUGUCAGCUUCUCCUGGACCGACAAAGAGGGCGAGGUCAGCUCAGGUGUGGCGACGGACAGCGAGGCCGUGCUGGAAGAAGGAAAGACCUACAUGAUGAGCAGCAGGCUGAGGGUCUCUGCUGAAGAGUGGAACAAUCCUGACAAUGAAUUCACCUGCACCGUCCGCUUCUUUGACGGGGACAAAACGGUCCCUUACUCUGCUUCAGUUAAAGGAAUAGAAGCUGAAAGAAAAACCAUCACCAGAGACAAAUAUCUGAAGGUCACGCAGAGCGCCAAACUGACGUACAGCGUGUUCAUCGUGAAGAGCUGUUUCUACGGAGCCUUCCUCGCUUUUCUGCUGCUCAAGUUUCAGGUUUGUUCCAACUCAACGACUCGACUGUCGUUUCCUUUCAAUAAAAAGUCUUUCUUUAAAGAGAGAAUGUGGCGCCCUCGAGCACCAGCAUGAAACAAAAAACAACGCGCUUUUAGGCCACGCCUCCUCCAUCCUCCGUUCUCCUCCAGAGACAC